UACAGAGGGGGCUAGCGUUAUUCGGAAUUAUUGGGCGUAAAGGGCGCGUAGGCGGCCAUGCGUGUCUUCCGUGAAAUCCCUCGGCUUAACUGAGGACGUGCGGAAGAAACUGCAAGGCUCGAGUCCGGGAGAGGGGGGGUGGAAUUCCCAGUGUAGCGGUGAAAUGCGUAGAUAUUGGGAGGAACACCGGUGGCGAAGGCGGCCCCCCUGGACCGGAACGUGACGCUGAGGCGCGAAAGCGUGGGUAGCAAACGGG
rnacentral:rRNA from 1 species